rnacentral:rRNA from 1 species
GACACACGGUUUCCUUCGGGAAACCAUUAGCUUAGCGGCGGACGGGUGAGUAAUACGUAGGUAACCUGCCCUUAAGACUGGGAUAACUCACGGAAACGUGGGCUAAUACCGGAUAGUCGAUUUCCUCGCAUGAGGGAAUCGGGAAAGGCGGACCAAUCUGCCACUUAUGGAUGGACCUACGGCGCAUUAGCUAGUUGGUGGGGUAACGGCUCACCAAGGCGACGAUGCGUAGCCGACCUGAGAGGGUGAUCGGCCACACUGGGACUGAGACACGGCCCAG